GUUUCUCAGAUCAAAUAACAUCGUUUUUAGCCUGUUUGAAUAACUUAUGUUUUUGUCUGGGAGGUAGAAAUGGCUUUUCCUUGGAAUUAUAGAAUUUAAAGUCUACAUCUAACAGUCCUAGCACUUAUCCGCAAGCCACACUGAGACAUGAUUUUUAACUGAGUCAGGUGAUUUUUCUUCUGUCACUUAAAUAUAGUUUUUAAUUAUU